rnacentral:rRNA from 1 species
UACAGAGGGUGCGAGCGUUGUCCGGAAUCACUGGGCGUAAAGGGCGCGUAGGCGGCUCGGUAAGGUUGCGGUGAAAGCCCGGGGCUCAACCCCGGGUCGGCCGUGGCAACUGCUGAGCUAGAGCACUGUAGAGGCAGGUGGAAUUCCGGGUGUAGCGGUGGAAUGCGUAGAGAUCCGGAAGAACACCGGUGGCGAAGGCGGCCUGCUGGGCAGUGGCUGACGCUGAUGCGCGAUAGCGUGGGGAUCGAAACAGG